rnacentral:rRNA from 1 species
GACGGAGGGGGCUAGCGUUGUUCGGAAUUACUGGGCGUAAAGGGCGCGUAGGCGGCUCUUCAAGUUAGACGUGAAAGCCCUGGGCUUAACCUAGGAAUAGCGUUUAAUACUGGAGGGCUAGAGAUCGGUAGAGGGAAAUGGAAUUCCUAGUGUAGAGGUGAAAUUCGUAGAUAUUAGGAAGAACACCAGAGGCGAAGGCGGUUUCCUGGGCCGAUACUGACGCUGAGGCGCGAAAGCGUGGGGAGCAAACAGG